GACGAACGCUGGCGGCGUGCUUAACACAUGCAAGUCGAACGGAGUGGCGAACGGGUGAGUAACACGUGGGUGAUCUGCCUUGCACUUCGGGAUAAGCUUGGGAAACUGGGUCUAAUACCGGAUAGUGCAAGAUGAGCUCGCGGCCUAUCAGCUUGUUGGUGGGGUAAUGGCGUACCAAGGCGUCGACGGGUGGCCGGCCUGAGAGGGUGUACGGGCACAUUGGGACUGAGGUGCGGCCCAGAGGGCUACGGGGGGCAGGGGUGGGGGAUAUAGCGCGAAGGGCGGAAGGCUGAUGGAGCGUCGCCGCGUCGGAGAGGAAGGCUGUCGGAUUGGAAACUCCUUUGGACAGGAACGCGGUACCUGUAUAAGAAGCACCGGCUAACUACGUGCCAGCAGCCGCGGUAAUAC
rnacentral:rRNA from 1 species